rnacentral:rRNA from 1 species
GCUGAGCUGUGAUGGGGAGAAGACAUUGUGUCUUCGAGUCGUUGAUUUCACACUGCCGAGAAAAGCCUCUAGAUAGAAAAUAGGUGCCCGUACCGCAAACCGACACAGGUAGUCAAGAUGAGAAUUCUAAGGUGAGCGAGCGAACUCUCGUUAAGGAACUCGGCAAAAUGACCCCGUAACUUCGGGAGAAGGGGUGCUCUUUAGGGUUAACGCCCAGAAGAGCCGCAGUGAAUAGGCCCAAGCGACUGUUUAUCAAAAACACAGGUCUCUGCUAAACCGUAAGGUGAUGUAUAGGGGCUGACGCCUGCCCGGUGCUGGAAGGUUAAGAGGAGUGGUUAGCUUCUGCGAAGCUACGAAUCGAAGCCCCAGUAAACGGCGGCCGUAACUAUAACGGUCCUAAGGUAGCGAAAUUCCUUGUCGGGUAAGUUCCGACCCGCACGAAAGGCGUAACGAUUUGGGCACUGUCUCAACGAGAGACUCGGUGAAAUCAUAGUACCUGUGAAGAUGCAGGUUACCCGCGACAGGACGGAAAGACCCCGUGGAGCUUUACUGUAGCCUGAUAUUGAAAUUCGGCACAGCUUGUACAGGAUAGGUAGGAGCCUUUGAAACGUGAGCGCUAGCUUACGUGGAGGCGCUGGUGGGAUACUACCCUAGCUGUGUUGGCUUUCUAACCCGCACCACUUAUCGUGGUGGGAGACAGUGUCAGGCGGGCAGUUUGACUGGGGCGGUCGCCUCCUAAAAGGUAACGGAGGCGCUCAAAGGUUCCCUCAGAAUGGUUGGAAAUCAUUCAUAGAGUGUAAAGGCAUAAGGGAGCUUGACUGCGAGACCUACAAGUCGAGCAGGGUCGAAAGACGGACUUAGUGAUCCGGUGGUUCCGCAUGGAAGGGCCAUCGCUCAACGGAUAAAAGCUACCCCGGGGAUAACAGGCUUAUCUCCCCCAAGAGUUCACAUCGACGGGGAGGUUUGGCACCUCGAUGUCGGCUCAUCGCAUCCUGGGGCUGUAGUCGGUCCCAAGGGUUGGGCUGUUCGCCCAUUAAAGCGGUACGCGAGCUGGGUUCAGAACGUCGUGAGACAGUUCGGUCCCUAUCCGUCGUGGGCGUAGGAAAUUUGAGAGGAGCUGUCCUUAGUACGAGAGGACCGGGAUGGACAUACCUCUGGUGUACCAGUUGUCGUGCCAACGGCAUAGCUGGGUAGCUAUGUGUGGACGGGAUAAGUGCUGAAAGCAUCUAAGCAUGAAGCCCCCCUCAAGAUGAGAUUUCCCAACUUCGGUUAUAAGAUCCCUCAAAGAUGAUGAGGUUAAUAGGUUCGAGGUGGAAGCAUGGUGACAUGUGGAGCUGACGAAUACUAAUCGAUCGAAGACUUAAUCAA